ensembl:rRNA 5S_rRNA 5S ribosomal RNA
UCAUGAAGUCUUUGCCCAUGCCUGAACAUGUCCAAUCUUGUCUGAUCUUGGAAGCUAAGCAGGGUUGAGCCUGGUUACUACUUGAA